rnacentral:rRNA from 1 species
GACAGAGGGGGCAAGCGUUGCUCGGAAUCACUGGGCGUAAAGGGCGCGUAGGCGGGAGGGCAAGUCAGUCGUGAAAUCCUUCGGCUCAACCGAAGAACGUCGGCCGAUACUGCCUUUCUUGAGGGAUGCAGAGGAGACUGGAAUUCCCGGUGUAGCGGUGAAAUGUGUAGAGAUCGGGAGGAACACCGGUGGCGAAGGCGGCUCCCUGGGCAUAUCCUGACGCUGAGGUGCGAAAGCUAGGGGAGCGAACGGG